UAGGGAAUCUUCCACAAUGGACGCAAGUCUGAUGGAGCAACGCCGCGUGAGUGAAGAAGGUCUUCGGAUCGUAAAGCUCUGUUGUUGGUGAAGAAGGAUAGAGGCAGUAACUGGUCUUUAUUUGACGGUAAUCAACCAGAAAGUCACGGCUAACUACGUGCCAGCAGCCGCGGUAAUACGUAGGUGGCAAGCGUUGUCCGGAUUUAUUGGGCGUAAAGCGAGCGCAGGCGGAAUGAUAAGUCUGAUGUGAAAGCCCACGGCUCAACCGUGGAACUGCAUCGGAAACUGUCAUUCUUGAGUGCAGAAGAGGAGAGUGGAACUCCAUGUGUAGCGGUGGAAUGCGUAGAUAUAUGGAAGAACACCAGUGGCGAAGGCGGCUCUCUGGUCUGCAACUGACGCUGAGGCUCGAAAGCAUGGGUAGCGAACAGGAUUAGAUACCCUGGUAGUCCAUGCCGUAAACGGUGAGCGCUAGGUGUUGGGGACUUUCCGGUCCUCAGUGCCGCAGCAAACGCAUUAAGCGCUC
rnacentral:rRNA from 1 species